CCGGUAACUGCAGCGGCGACUCAGUGUGCCUGCUGCCGGUGUAACGUGAGGACGCAGCUCACCCGCAAAUCCGCACUGCCCGCGUCCACACCCCGCAAGCUAUGCCUACCCACAGCCACGCCUCAGCCCCGGUCCUCGCUGUGGACAUGUAAGACAGCUGGCCUGUGAGGGGGACACACUCGCAAGUGAUAGGGAAGAAGCGACCGAACCGCAUGUAUACACAAAAUAUAUUAUAUAUCUGAAGACUGUGAUAAAAGACUACGCCGAAGGAAGGAAUGUGCACCAGAGUUAGUUCCUGCAGGGUGGCGUUGUGGUAGAGAGAGAGAGACGCCGCCGUCAGCGUGUACCAAUAUAUGGAGAUACUGUGUCCCUCGACGGGCAUUCUCGGGAGACACCUUAGCCCUGGGUAGCGUGGAUGGUGAGGUGGCCGUGCUGUUGCUGCUGCUGCAGAGGGAAGAAAGGGGCUCCCGGCUGGUUCUCCGUUCAUCUCAGCCUCGCCUAUAGUAGUGGUGAUGUUUUCCUUGGGCUUGAUGACUUCCCACAGUGUCUUGCCCAUCACCACUAUCGCCACCACCACCACCAUUCCCCUCACUACCACCCCCAUCAUCUCCUCCAUCCCCAGCAUUGUCACGAACGCUCCACCCGCUUUUUAUUCUCUUCUGUUGCCCCCGUCUCCGAUCUCCCCACACUGCCCCUUCCCGGUGGUCAGCGCCAUCACCACCACCACCCACUCCGCCCACACACCCACCCCUCACGCCCACACCUGCAGGGGCAUCGCGGCAGCGGAACUACGACAGGCCAUCUUACCAAUCGCGUCAUCUGUCGGAUGUCCAGCAUCUUGAGAACUGGUCUUUGAGAGUAUUCACGACUCCUCGACAAAGUUCGCCCAUCGUUCUAGCAUUAAAACCAUUGCCUAUUAGCUGCUAAGGUGGUUGUAAAUACCGUAUAAUUGCUACUUGGUAUAAUUAUCGCUGCUACUUUUUAUCUUCUAGCCAGGCAACAAAGUCUAGUUUUCUACCGCAGAAGUUUCAUAAACGUUUACGAAUGUUCUCCCUAAGUGCCCUCUCAAAAGUGCCUGUACGUCAUAUAUGUCAUAGAAUGGGUCAUCUGUUUUGGUGAUGUAAGUUGAUCGAUAGCGACUUCGCAUGACGAACUCUCGUUCAACGUAGUACUCUCAUCCCGAGCUCUUCAAUCACGGUAAAUCCAAGCCAAAAGGCCUCUGUGGGAAUAACCGGUUAAGAUAACCUGCUCGGAGCGUUUGUUAUCUGUUCGGACGCUCUGAAUCAUUAACCACAGGAGUAGUUUAACUAUUCAUGAUUAUUGUAUAACUAACUAUUCAUUGUUGUAUCGUGAAAGUGAUCACACCCAAAACCAGUGAUGCGUAUCAUUGGCGGAAAGUGACCCCUAUAUAGAUGAAACAGCGGCGGAAAGUGACCCCCAUAUAGGUGAAACAGCGGCGGAAAGUGACCCCCAUAUAGAUGAAACAGCGGCGGAAAGUGACCCCCAUAUAGAUGAAACAGCGGCGGAAAGUGACCCCCAUAUAGAUGAAACAGCGGCGGAAAGUGACCCCCAUAUAGAUGAAACAGCGGCGGAAAGUGACCCCCAUAUAGAUGAAACAGCGGCGGAAAGUGAUUCAGGUGAAUGAAACUGGCGGAAAGUGAUCCAGGUCAAUUUGUUAGUUCGUGUGUCAUUGUUUGUGUGAGAAAAUUGGCAUUGCAAACGGCCGUUACGGCGAUCAAGAAGAAGCCGAAGCAAAAGAAAAGGAAAAAGAAAAGCACACUUCCCCCCCCCUGCACACACACACACACACACACACACACACACACACACACACACACACACACACACACACACACACACACACACACAGGCCCACUUUCCCUUGAAGCUGUGAUGCCCCGGAUGUGAUACAAGAGGACGAUACUACGCCUCUCUGACUAAACGAAUCUUCAGCAGACUAUUUGGAACGAACCUGAAAAAGGCAAAAAAAAAACUCAAACUGUAUGGGUGGGGACUUUUGACACGCAGAAAACAGAGAAAAGGGUUAAGACACAGACGUUGAAAAGAUGAGAGAGGACAAAUUGAAAUAACCAUCAAUUAGAAGAUCAUUUGUUAUAGAACGUUAAUGCGAAAAGUGUUUGGCGCUUAUAAGCAAAGGCCGAGAUAGCCAUAGAAAGUUGAGGAAAGGAAUCAGAGGCAAUAGAAUAAUAGGCAUAGAGUGGGGAGAAAUUAAAAUAAGACUAAAUGCAUGAUAAGCAGUGAAUGAGAGAAAUAGAAAUCAGGGAAGAGAAGAAAGGCAUAAAAAACAGGAAGAAAAUCAAAGUAAAAAAAGAAAAAGAGAGGUGGAAAGUAAGUGUAGAGGGGAAAUUAUUUUAGGAUAUAGGUGAAGGUGGAGUUGAAGACGAGAUCUCGGGACUUAUACAGCAAGAUCACCCUCACCGCUCCGCCAGACGCUCCCAUCAUGGCUUCUUAUUGCAGGUAAGGAGGAUGUCGAACUAUGGGGAAAAAAGGUGAGUGAGUGUGUAGGCGCGUGUGCGCGCGCGCGCGGAGGCCGCGGCUACCCACAUGGGGUACUUGACAAUGGUCAGUUUCGUU